rnacentral:rRNA from 1 species
AGUGAACGCUGGCGGUAGGCCUAACACAUGCAAGUCGAACGGCAGCACAGUAAGAUCUUGCUCUUACGGGUGGCGAGUGGCGGACGGGUGAGGAAUACAUCGGAAUCUACUUUUUCGUGGGGGAUAACGUAGGGAAACUUACGCUAAUACCGCAUACGACCUACGGGUGAAAGCAGGGGAUCUUCGGACCUUGCGCGAUUGAAUGAGCCGAUGUCGGAUUAGCUAGUUGGCGGGGUAAAGGCCCACCAAGGCGACGAUCCGUAGCUGGUCUGAGAGGAUGAUCAGCAACACUGGAACUGAGACACGGUCCAGACUCCUACGGGAGGCAGCAGUGGGGAAUAUUGGACAAUGGGCGCAAGCCUGAUCCAGCCAUACCGCGUGGGUGAAGAAGGCCUUCGGGUUGUAAAGCCCUUUUGUUGGGAAAGAAAAGCAGCAGGUUAAUACCCCGCUGUUCUGACGGUACCCAAAGAAUAAGCACCGGCUAACUUCGUG